ACGGCUUACCAAGGCUACAAUAGAUAGGGGGUUUGAGAGAAUGAUCCUCCACACUGGUACUGAGAUACGGACCAGACUCCUACGGGAGGCAGCAGUAAGGAAUAUUCGGCAAUGGGCGCAAGCCUGACCGAGUCAUGCCGCGUGUGGGAAGAAGGUCUUCGGAUUGUAAACCACUUUUGUAUAGGAAUAAUUAGAUCACGUGUGGUCAAAAUGAAGGUACUAUAAGAAUAAGCACCGGCUAACUCCGUGCCAGCAGCCGCGGUAAUACGGAGGGUGCAAGCGUUAUCCGAAUUCAUUGGGUUUAAAGCGUACGCAGGCGGUUAUAUAAGUUAGUAGUUAAAGGCAGUAGCUUAACUACUUGCAUGCUAUUAAUACUGUAUAACUUGAGUCUUUUAGGAGUGAGUAGAAUUCGUAGUGGAAGAGUGAAAUCUGUAGAGACUACGAAGAAUACCGAAAGCGAAAGCAACUCACUAAGAAACGACUGACGCUAAUGUACGAAAGCGUGGGUAGCGAACA
rnacentral:rRNA from 1 species